rnacentral:piRNA from 1 species
UGGGAAGCCUUUCAUUCUUUCUGCUUCUGA